CUGCGACGAAAGUGAGAACGCACGUGUCGUGGUCUAUAGGGCUCGAAGUAAUAUAAACUAUGGAUGGCUAUGUAUAAAUAAAUUAUCGCAGUAAAUAAUGUGUACAGUAAAUUCGAAUGAAUGUGAGCGACUGGAUUUUGUAAUUAAGGUUUAAAAUCGGAAACUGGGGGUAAUCAUUAAGUUUAAAAGCAGUGCUUCUGUUGCUCUUCUACUAAUUUGAAUUGAAGGUCAAGGUAUAGAAGCAACAGACAAGUGUGAAAGCAUUUUAGACGAAAGGAAAGCGUUAUUAGAUGAUGACAGUACUGAAAAUUGAACUAAACUCACCUGCUCAGAUGAAGAGAGUGUAUCACUAUAUGAAGGUACAGAUCACAAAGAAGAAGCUAUCGAAUAUCAUUUUUUCUCUGUUAUCGAAGACCCUGGGAUACAAUAUACUGUUAAAGCAGUCGGUUUGUUAAAGCGUUACAGCUUCUUAGCAUCUGAAAAUCUGCUCUUCUUAGAAUCUUCUUAGCGUUUUGAAGUUUUCGAUUGAUAUUAGCUUUCAUUUCAGAUGCUAAGAAGAAAGCUGAAAUGAAAGAUAAUAUCAAUGAAAAACUUCAAAUGCCCCCUUUUUUUUCCCAUUAAUUUUGGAUACAAUCCAAGAUGCCUCUAAAGUUGAUCAAUAGAGUUAAAUUUGGAGACAUGUAAAAACAGUGAAUGACGAAACAGGAAAAUCUGUUGAAUUAAAAAUUGUGAAACAUAUAUAUAUAUAUCUUUCUAGAAAAUAAAAUGUCAGUCGUCAAAGGGGCUUGAAGUAAAAUUCAUGAAAUCGCUUCAAGAGAAAUUUUUGAAUUUAACAAAAUUUCGUCGGCAAGUAUAUGAUGGUGCAGCAGUGAUGAGUGCUAUGAAGAAUAUUCUUGAUAUUUACCAAGUAAUUCAACCCGAAUUUCUUAUGAAAACAAAUGUAAAAGAUAUUCAAGACAAAGUAGUUCAUUUUGUGCUAAAAUUUCUGUAAAAUUCGUCAUCAACGUUUCCAUCUCAGUUGUCUUUAGUUAAAGGAGGCAUUUAAAGAGAAUCAUGAAAAAAUUAAUAGCUUCAAAGUAUUAGCAAAACUGUUGAUAAUAAAUCAUUCAUUUUCAAGCAUGCACAGCAUGCCUCAUGUACUUGACGAUUCCUGUGACUACAGUUAAGGCUGAAUGAUCUUUUUUCAAAACUGAAAUUUUAAAAAAAAAAAAAAAGAAAAAGAAAAGGAAAAAAAAAAAAAAAAAAA